rnacentral:lncRNA from 1 species
UCAGACAAAUAAUUAAUUAAUAGUAAAAAAUACAAUAUAAAGUUUAUCUGAAACCUCAUUGCAGGUGACACAUGCUUCCAAAAUUUAGUUUAGUACAUCCCCUUCACCUAAACUUAAAUAUAAUAGUAUAAUAACUUGCUUUUGAGUUUAACAUCCAUCAGAGCAUUAUAAGCACUAGUUAACUAAGCAAAAAACAAAGUAAAAAUCACUAUUUUACCAUGUAGUUAUUUCAUAGAGAAAUGACAUCCAUUGAAAUGAAUACUCAAAAUUUGUUACCCUUUCAUGAUUCAUCAUGCAUAUCCAAUCAUUCCAACUGACGAACUAACCCUGUUAGUCGUCCGAGAAAGUGGAGUUGUGGUUGCCUUUGUGAAGUACAUGUAGUAGUAUACUUUAAGAAU